GGCAAGUUUUGAAGUUAUUCAUUCUGGGUUUUAAGCAUUUUUAAUCAACACAUUAUCCCACCUAUUUUCCGUGUAAAUUCUACCAUACCCUCCUCUCCUACACAUAAUUAAGUAGCAAUAAAAGAAAAUGGAUCCCCAUCUCUGCCCUUGAAAAUCAUUGCAUAUAUAAUGGCCUAAAGCCCUCCCAAUCUCAAUCUACAGGAGAAACCAUCCUUUUCCAAAUUGCAGGAUAUAGUUAACAAGAAUGAGUGGAAGAGAAAACAGUCCAAAGCUUGAGUUGAAGCUGAAUCUAUUAUCACCACCUACAGCUAGGCCUAAUAACCAAGUAAAUGGGUCGCCAAACACAUCGGAGAUGUCACUCGAAAGUUCAUGCGUGUCUUCGGAGACUGACGACUCAUCGAUGAUGAUGAUGCAACGCCGUAGCAGUGAGGAAGAAACUCCGAUGGUGUUGGUAGGAUGUCCUCGGUGCCUCAUGUACGUUAUGUUAGCGCAAGUGAAUCUCAAGUGCCCCAAAUGUAAAACCACCGUCUUCCUUGAUUUUCUUAACCAUUAUAACACCAAAAUGCCAUCCAACUGAAUCUAUCCAACAACAUCUAUCAUUCUCCUUGCUUGCUUGUUGGAAGUUUUGUGUUAUUUUGUUCCAUUUCAUAUACUCAUCAAGAUGUCUGGUUGCUCAAUGUUUGAAAAAAAAUAAAGAGUGUUGUAAUUGUUUAA